CCUACGGGAGGCAGCAGUAGGGAAUUUUGCGCAAUGGGCGAAAGCCUGACGCAGCAACGCCGCGUGAUCGAGACGCCCUUCGGGGUGUGAAGAUCUGUCUGUGGGGACGAAACUUGACGUCACGCACAGCGGCAGCACCGGCUAACUCCGUGACAGCAGCCGCGGUAAUCCGGGGGGUGCAAGCGUUGUCCGGAAUCAUUGGGCGUAAAGAGUUCGUAGGCGGCAUGCAAAGUCUGGUGUUAAAGGCAGAGGCUCAACUUCUGUACGGCACUGGAUACUUGCGAGCUAGAAUGCGGUAGAGGUAAGGGGAAUGCGUGGUGUAGCGGUGAAAUGCUUAGAUAUCAGGAGGAACAUCGAUUGCGUAGGCGCUUUACUGGGCCGUAACUGACGCUGAGGAACGAAAGCGAGGGUAGCGAAUGGGAUUAGAUACCCGAGUAGUC
rnacentral:rRNA from 1 species